rnacentral:misc_RNA from 1 species
GAUGAAGAACGUAGCGAAAUGCGAUAAGUAAUGUGAAUUGCAGAAUUCAGUGAAUCAUCGAAUCUUUGAACGCACAUUGCACUCAUUAGUAUUCUAGUGAGUAUGCCUGUUCGAGCGUCAUUUCAACCCUUAAGCCUAGCUUAGUGUUGGGACUCUACCCUAACCGGUAGUUCCCCAAAAUCAGUUGGCGGAGUUCAGUCGGCUCUGAGUGUAGUAAUUUUCUCUCGCUUUAGAAGUCUUCUGGAUUACGGCCAGAAAGAGACGAGUCUCGCAUCUCGGUGCGUUUCUUAACUUUUUUUUACAAUGGUUGACCUCGGAUCAGGUAGGAAUACCCGCUGAACUUAAGCAUAUCAAUAAGCGGAGGA